AGAGUUUGAUCCUGGCUCAGGAUGAACGCUGGCGGCGUGCUUAACACAUGCAAGUCGAACGGGAUAUACUUUUUAGCUUGCUAAGUUGUAUAUCUAGUGGCGGACGGGUGAGUAACGCGUGGGUAACCUGCCGUAUGCUGGGGGACAACAGUUGGAAACGACUGCUAAUACCGCAUAAGCGCACGAGAUCGCAUGAUCUUGUGUGAAAAACUCCGGUGGCAUACGAUGGACCCGCGUCUGAUUAGCCAGUUGGCAGGGUAACGGCCUACCAAAGCGACGAUCAGUAGCCGGCCUGAGAGGGUGAACGGCCACAUUGGGACUGAGACACGGCCCAGACUCCUACGGGAGGCAGCAGGUGGGGAAUAUUGCACAAUGGGGGAAACCCUGAUGCAAGCGACGCCGCGUGAGUGAAGAAGUAUUUCGGUAUGUAAAGCUCUAUCAGCAGGAAAGAAAAUGACGGUACCUGACUAAGAAGCCCCGGCUAACUACGUGCCAGCAGCAGC
rnacentral:rRNA from 1 species